rnacentral:rRNA from 1 species
CAGCAGCCGCGGGAAAACGGAGGGUGCAAGCGUUAAUCGGAAUUACUGGGCGUAAAGCAUGCGUAGGCGGCUUCUUAAGUCGGAUGUGAAAUCCCUGAGCUUAACUUAGGAAUUGCAUUCGAUACUGGGAAGCUAGAGUAUGGGAGAGGAUGGUAGAAUUCCAGGUGUAGCGGUGAAAUGCGUAGAGAUCUGGAGGAAUACCGAUGGCGAAGGCAGCCAUCUGGCCUAAUACUGACGCUGAGGUACGAAAGCAUGGGGAGCAAACAGGAUUAGAUACCCCAGUAGUCCCUGUCUCUUAUAC